rnacentral:rRNA from 1 species
GGACAAUCUGCCCUGAAGUGGAGGAUAAUCCCGGGAAACUGGGGGUAAUACUCCAUAGUUCGUGAUGACUGGAAUGUUUUGCGAACGAAAGAUCCGUCGCUUCAGGAUGAGUCUGCGGCCGAUUAGGUAGUUGUUGGGGUAACGGCCCAACAAGCCUGUCAUCGGUACGGGUUGUGGGAGCAAGAGCCCGGAGAUGGAUUCUGAGACACGAAUCCAGGCCCUACGGGGCGCAGCAGGCGCGAAAACUUUACCAUGCGGGCAACCGUGAUAAGGAAACCCCGAGUGCCAGCACAGGCUGGCUGUCCGCCAGUGUAAAUAACUGGUGAAGAAAGGGCCGGGCAAGACCGGUGCCAGCCGCCGCGGUAAUACCGGCGGCUCGAGUGGUGGCCACUAUUACUGGGCUUAAAGGGUCCGUAGCUGGAUAUACAAGUCUCUUGAGAAAUCCGCCGGCUUAACCGGUGGGCGUUCAGGGGAAACUGUAUUUCUAGGGACCGGGAGAGGUGAGAGGUACUGCCGGGGUAGGAGUGAAAUCCUGUAAUCCCGGUGGGACCACCUAUGGCGAAGGCAUCUCACCAGAACGGGUCCGACAGUGAGGGACGAAAGCUGGGGGAGCAAACCGGAUUAGAUACCCGGGUAGUCCCAGCUGUAAACGAUGCGCGUUAGGUGUGUCAGUGACCACGUGUCACUGAGGUGCCGAAGGGAAACCGUGAAACGCGCCGCCUGGGGAGUACGGUCGCAAGGCUGAAACUUAAAGGAAUUGGCGGGGGAGCAC